CACACGGAAAAGAAAAAGACGCUGAAUGACCUAGGUAUUUUUGUCUUCGUUCGUUUUCCUCUUUUCCAUUUCGUUUCUUCUUCGUUCCUUCAUACACACCCGCCCUCUGCCAAAACCUCUCUCUCAGUCUCAGCCAUCACGUCACGCCUCUCUGCAGCUCUUCUCUCAGCCUCUCUUCAAUCGCCGCCGUCACACAGGAGGUUCUGAAAAUGCUGAAGAAAAGAGUGGGAAUUACAGUAAGAUGCCUUAAGUUAUUUAAGAUUUGACAAGUGCAUGUCAAAGGAUCUCCGACGAAAGGGCAGUUCUGUUUUCUUGAAUCGAAUUCUCUGUUUUCGUUUUUCAAAUACUCUGUUUGUGUUUGGAUCUAGAUUGGUUUGUGUUUCAGUAGAUUUAAAAGUUGGUUAAUCAAUAUAGGGAAGCUAUGAAAAUAUGCUGGCAAGAAGAGAUGCUGGAGUAAAGGUGCUGGUAUUGGCUGUCAAUUGUUUUGUGUGACCUCCUUUGAUAACUCUUUCUAUUCCAAGAACAUUGCUUUGUCAAAAACCUUUUGCAAUGCGAUACAAGCAAAGUAAUUUAACAGUACGUUAUUUUAUUUUGGUUGAGCUUCAA